CCUACGGGAGGCAGCAGUGAGGAAUAUUGGUCAAUGGACGAGAGUCUGAACCAGCCAAGCCGCGUGAAGGAUGACUGCCCUAUGGGUUGUAAACUUCUUUUAUAUGGGAAUAAAACAGGGUAUGCAUACCCUCUUGCAUGUACCAUAUGAAUAAGGAUCGGCUAACUCCGUGCCAGCAGCCGCGGUAAUACGGAGGAUCCGAGCGUUAUCCGGAUUUAUUGGGUUUAAAGGGAGCGUAGGUGGAUUGUUAAGUCAGUUGUGAAAGUUUGCGGCUCAACCGUAAAAUUGCAGUUGAAACUGGCAGGCUUGAGUGCAGGAGAGGUGGGCGGAAUUCGUGGUGUAGCGGUGAAAUGCUUAGAUAUCACGAAGAACUCCGAUUGCGAAGGCAGCUCACUGGACUGCGACUGACGCUGAUGCUCGAAAGUGUGGGUAUCAAACAGGAUUAGAUACCCUAGUAGUC
rnacentral:rRNA from 1 species